ensembl:lncRNA
UGGUCAUUUAUUUAUAGAGGGAAAUAAUCCAAUAUUACAUAUCUGUGAGUGGCAAAAGUAUGUGAACCUCUAAGAUUAGCAGUUAAUUUGAAGGUGAAAUUAGAGUCAGGUGUUUUAAAUCAGUGGGAUGACAAUCAGGUGUGAGUGAGCACUCUUUUAUUUAAAGAACAAGGAUCUGUCAAAGUCUGAUCUGACACAUGUUUGUGGAACAGUAUCCUGGAACAAACAAUGGUAAUUUCUGAGGACCUCAGAAAAAUAGUUGUUAAUGCUCAUCAGGCUAGAAAAGGUUAGAAAAUCAUCUCUAAAGAGUUAGGACUCCACCAAUCCACAGUCAGACAGACUGUGUACAAAUGGAGGAAAGUUAAGACCAUUGUUACCCUCUUCAGGAGUGGUCGAUCAACAAGGAUCACAACAAGAGCAAGACUAGGCAAGACUAACCCAAGGCCUGCCCAUCUGCAUUUCUAAAGAUCACAUGGACAAGCCAGAUGGCUUUUGGAAAAAUGUUUUGUGGAUGGAUGAGACCAAAAUAUAACUUUUAUUGAGAAUCUUUUAAAUGAGAAGCGUUAUGUUUGGAGAAAGGAGAACACUAGCUUGUGCAUGCAUUCUAGUGCUGCAUGCUAGCGACUACUCCUGUGACAGCACCUUCACAGUGAAGGUAUUUUCAAUGUGAUUUUCCUUUUUGAAGAAAAGGCUGCUUAAUGAGAACAGGUACAGGCACUUCAAUCUGCUCAUCACUUUUAAAAUUUAGAUGUAAUCGUUCCAUCCAUCCAUCUUCUAUACCGCUUAUCCUAUUUAGAUGUAAUGUUUUGAGUCUAUCAUAUUGUCAUGACCUACACUACAGCACCAUCUACUGCCUACUGACACGGUUUAAUAUCUAAAAAUGUAAUGCUUCACUUUCUAAACUUCAAUUAUAGUUUCCCACAUUAUAUUUUACUAGGAAAACAACACCUAGUUCUGUUAAAUGCAAUAUUUUAACCUGUUCUCAAUGUUCUCAGUGAGCAUACUGAUAAGAUGAAUAUAUUCUUCGUUCAAGAUUUAAGCCUGCCAGACCAAUCAAAGAUACUCUAUUGUGUGUUUAUUAUAUAUCUUUCACUUUAGUUCCUUCUGUUAUAACCACGAUAACCACUCCUGUGAAAACCAAACACUGAACAAUUCAGAUUUAUUGUGUAUUUAUCAUAUAUCAUCCAUGGCAGUGUCUGUGCUGCCUAGCAAUAUAAAAUCUAGACCCUGCAAUAAAACAGAGAGAGAGAGAGAGAGAGAGAGAGAGAGAGAGAGAGAGAGAGAGAGAG